rnacentral:rRNA from 1 species
CAGUCGCCACGGUAACACGUAGGGCGCGAGCGUUGUCCGGAAUCAUUGGGCGUAAAGCGCGUGUAGGCGGCUGAGUAAGUCUGCUGUGAAAGUCCAGGGCUCAACCCUGGAAUGUCGGCGGAUACUGCUCAGCUGGAGUACGGGAGGGGCGAGUGGAAUUCCUGGUGUAGCGGUGGAAUGCUCAGAUAUCAGGAGGAACACCUAUGGCGAAGGCAGCUCGCUGGAACGUUACUGACGCUGAGACGCGAAAGCGUGGGGAGCAAACAGGAUUAGAUACCCCCGUAGUCCCUGUCUCUUAUAC